UAUCUUUUCAUUCCUUAAAUAGCACCUGAUAAGAUGCUUCUUGGCUAUCCAUUUACCCAGUGUUUUGUGGAGAAGCCAAACUGAAAUGGAGACUUUCCAGCUCAACAACCCAGAAAUAGUUAAUCAUUAUUAGUUUUAGGGUAAGGGUCCAGGGACCAGAAUGCCUCUUCCUAGUCCUGUAUCGCCAUGCGUCAUCUGAUCCCCUUGUGGCCUUGGCUGGCUGCGCUCACCCUGCUGCCCCGGCCUCGGGGAGGGGUGGGAGAUCUCGGACACUACGAGGACCUCCCCUCCAGGGAACAGGGUUUCCGGGAAUGUGCUCCCGGCCUGCUAAUACCCUGCAGCCUCGAGGCAGUUUUGAAGAGGAACCAGCCCCGUCAGGAGCAUUUGCUGCAAGAGACGCUGGGUUAUCUGCCGAUCCUGGUCUGUGGGAAAGAAGCCUUAACUUAAGAGACCUCGUCACGGCUUUCCUGUAGGACAGAGCCCUCCAGUGACCCAGUGGACCAGUGUCUCCUUACUGCCCCAACCACCGUCUGACCGUCAGAUAAUAAACUGUGUGGCUUCUCUCCCUCGGGCACCUCAAGAUUCCAAGUAAGAUACGAGCAGCGAUGUGAAGCUGUCCGUGAGUGAGUUCAUUUCUAGCGGGGUCUGAGUAAAACUCUUUCAAUGACUAGCAGAAAGCAAUGAGCUUUAGAAAAACUGAGCAAAACAAAUCCAAAACGUGACCCAUAAAGAGCCUAAGAAGAGAAACUGGGCCAUUAAGAGGGACAGGGUUAUCUCUGAGUUCCUGCCUCCACAAUUCCUUAUGUACCCAGCACCUCUCCCCUAUAAGAAUAACAGGCUUGUUUUAUUUUAAUAAACGUUUUUAUUCUGGAAUGGUUUUAGGUUUUCAGAAGAGUUGCAAGGACAGCACACAGAGCCCCCGGAUACCCCUCACUUAGUCUCCCCUGGGCUAACAUAACAUACGUAACAGCAUAUACGUUACCACCACACACUGGUCAAAACUAAAAACCAACACUGGUAAAUUACUAUGAACUAAACUCCAGACUUUAUUUGUAGGUUUUCCCACAAACGUCCUGUUCUCUUCCCGGAUCCCACCCAGGGCACCACGGUCAUAUGUCCUCAGCCGUCAAAUGUCCUCAAUCUCCCUGGUCUGUGAGAGUUGCUCCCUCUUUCCUCGGUUCCAUACCUCACAGUUUUGAGGGGCAUUUUGUAGAUAUCGGUUAUUUUGCAGAAUGUCCCUCAGUGUGGUUUUGUCUGAUGUUUUUCUCAUGAUUAGAUUGAGAUUAUGGGUUUGGGUCAAACGACCGCAGAGGAGAACGGCCCUUCUCAUCACGUCGGGGGCUCCGUGCUGUCUACAGGACUUCUCGCUGAUGAGGUUCACCUGCAUAACAGAGUGUCUGCUCGGUUUUUCUAUCGCCACGUUAUUGUUUCUCCCUUUCCCUACUCUACUCUUUGAAGGCAAAUCUAAGUCCAACCCAUGUUCAAGGGGGAAGGGAGGUGGUACACAGGGACCCAGCUCUGCCCCUUGAAUGCGGGAGCAACACUAUAUAUUAUUCAGAAUUCUUCUGUAAGGAAGAUCUGUCACUCCUCUCUCCUCAUUGACUUAUUUAUUCAGUCACUUAUAUCAAUAAGGUCUUAAGUGGACUCAUAAGAACUUAGAGUUUGGAUUAUAACCCAGGGCUCUAGCAUUGAUUUUGUUGCUCAAAUUGUUCCAGCCGCCAACUCUGCUCACCCUGCUGGCUCCAAGGGCUCCUCCUCCAACCCCUUAAGAGACCUGACCUGGAGAGGCUACCUCUCUGCUCUCUUGGCACAACUCCACUCACCUGGCCCAACCCUGGCUCCCACUCUAGAGCUGAGCUUGGAGUUAACCAGCGGGCACCCAGUCCCCUCCAAGAUCGUCUCGCUCCCCUCCCACCCGGCGUCAUCACCAGCCAAAGGGCAACACCAGGACUGAACUCAGAAGCCAGAGGUGGGCUGACACUUGGGCGCAAAGGCCAUGGAUGUGUGCCAGGUGGGGCGCUGCGUGCGGCCCUCCUCAGGGUGCCAGAUGCCGUGAGGCGUGUCCUGGGAGAGGAACUGUCUGCCCACAGGAGCUGCCGCCAGUGUGUUCUUGUGAAAGCACGAUAACCUGCCAUUUUUUCCCUCACUCUGAUCAGAUUUCCAGGUUUGAAACCAAGUUCAGAUUUCCCUUCCACGUGUGCCACGCGUCCUUAACGUUUCAUGUUUCUUUCCUAUUUUGAGUCUAGAGGAAGUCCAUGGUUUGAAAAUGGAAACGAGUCUUGGCUGCUUCACCUGCACCCACUUUUAGCAUCAAACCAUGGCAACGUCACACACACAGCUCAUCACCAGUGUUCAGAGUGGAUUCACGCCGCCAGACGCUACUUUCAGUCUGCUUAUUUAUAACCAAGGUGAAUUUCUCCAUCAAAUUUGACUUUACAUUUUUUUCAUAUGACAAUGAAAUCCUAAGUUGUACUGAAAACCAGAGCGGGCAAUGACGGUUUAAGACAUGUCCUUGUCUUGAAUUUUACAAGCAGUAAAAAUUUCAACAUGGCCCGUGUCAGGAGCCAUGAAAGAUGCCAGGAACAACAUGUGUUUCCACACCAUCUGCGGAGGGACAGGCAAGAGGGGACACUGUGUUUAAGUGUGUCUUCCAGGAUGAAUGGGACCCCUUCUCUUGCCAUGAAAGUGCCACUGCGUUCAUGGAAGAUUCCAGAGAGUCUCCCUGACAGUGAGAAACAGCUGUUCCUAAAAGCACAGAGUUACAAACCCUACAGGCAAAACUGAGGCUCCGCUUGGUGGUGUCAGCCUGAGAAACAGGCUUCCAAGGCUGAGAUCCUGCCUCCCUCGGCCCUGCGUGUCCCUCCAAACAGGCACGUUCCUUUAAAAUCUGCUUUGCUUCCUUUCGCUUGAAAUUAUCCCUCCAAAAGAAGAUGUGGUCACGCAUUUGUGGUCUUACCAAAUCUGCCCUAUACCAGAGCUGUACAUUCAAUUUCUUUACUUUGAAUAGGAAGAACGGCUGAAAUGACUUCCAUCAGUGCUGGUUUGGGAAGCUUUUAGAUGUCACAGAGGUUACCAGUUAGGAAAAAAAUAAAAACAAGACUAAUUAAAGAGAAGGACAUUUAUCACAGAUUUCAUAAUUACUCGUGGGUGUGUGGCUUCACUACUGAAGGGGCUGUGUUACUAUAAAAUAAACUUUGCAAAAGUUUCUUCUAAAAGCAAUAUACUCAGUAGUCGUGUGAUGAAGAUUGAUCAAUGUGGUUUUCCAGAGGUGGAGGUCGUGGGGGGGGGACUGGGGAAAGGUGGUCAAAAGGUACAAACUUCCAGUUAUAAGGUAAGUUCUGGGGAUGUGAGGUACAGCACGGUGACCCGAGUUAAUAAUACUGUACUGUGUAUUUGAAAGUUGCUAAGAGAGUAGAUUUUAAAAGUUCUCAUCACAAGAAAAAAAAUCUAACUCUGUAUGGUAAUGGAUGUUAACUAGACAUUGUGGUUAUCUCUUUGUAGUACAUAUAUCAGAUCAUUAAGUUAUACACCUGAACCUCAUACAAUGUUAUAUGUGAAUUACAUCUCAAUAAAACUGGAGGGGAGAUAAAACGAGGGGGAAAAAAGAUUGAUUAAAUUAGCUGUUUAUAGCUUGAUACAACUUCCAGUGAUUCUGCUUUUAUUAAAGUCCUCCAUCAUAAAUUAGGAAUGAGGAUUACUUGCUCUGGAAAAUGCAUCAGGCUCAAAAAGUGGCCCUAGUUUUAAUAAAACUGACACAAAGGGAGACCAGGAGAAGCAGUAUUUUAAAACUAAUAUGUAAGUAAGAUGUGAUUUUAUAUGUAUAUCUACAGAACUAAAUCAGCUAACAGUGAUUUUGCAGUGGUUACAAUUAGUACAAGUAGAAAAUUGGGCCCUUUAAGUUUAUAUUCCAGGAAGCCUAUAUAGUCAAGGUGGCCAAACGCUUUUCCUGGAUCUUGGUGAGGGAGAGGAGGGCCGGCACCAUACAUUCGAGGUUCAUGUAUGUCGGGUACGAACUGAUUUCCAAGGAGAAUGGUGUUGAUCCAAACAAACAUGCUGCAGCUCGUCUCCAUCUCACGUCCACUUUCAGGAAACCCACCCAGGCUGCCAUCCUCUCCUCUGUUGCCAAAUGUUAUUCACUUCUCAAUGCGAUUGUAACUCCUGGCCUAAGCAAUAAACCACUAACGGGCCGCC